CUACGGCCAUAUUACGUUGAAACAUCAGUUUCCGCGCGGUCACAAAAGUUAAGCAACGUCGAGCCUGAUCAGUCCCUAGAUAGGUGACUGCUUGGGAAUACCAGGUGCUGUAAG